rnacentral:rRNA from 1 species
GGGUCAGUAGGUUGGUCGUGCCACCGGUACGUACUGGUCUCACUGAUUCCUCCUUCCUGAAGAACCGUAAUGCCAUUAAUUUGGUGUUGCGGGGAAACAGGACUGUUACUUUGAAAAAAUUAGAGUGUUUAAAGCAAGCUAACGCUUUAAUACAUUAGCAUGGAAUAAUGAAAUAGGACGAUCGAUCCUAUUUUGUUGGUUUCUAGGAUUGACGUA